CAGACUGAACUCAGGGAGCUGGGUGAGGUGUGGGGGGGAAACUCACUGCACUAACUGAAAUUCAAAAUGCCAAGGCUUUGAAAGUUGUUACAAGGGGUAGCAAUGGCAUAGCAGAUUAAGCUGCUGCUUGGGAAAUGGGCAUCCCAUACUGGAGGGAUGGUUUGAAUCCUGGCUGCUCCUCUUCCAGUUCAGCUCCCAGCUAAUGUGACUGGGAAGGUAGCAGAGGAUGACCCACGUUCUUGAGUCCCUGCCACCCAUGUAAGAGUAUAGAAUGCCUGGCUGAGACGUAGCUGUUGCAGCCAUUUGAGGAGUAAACCAGAGGUUAGAAAAAUCUCUCUCCUCCUUUUUCUCGUUGCACUUAUUUCCAAAUAAAACAACAACAACAACAACAACAAUAAUAAUAAUAAAACAUUGGUUCAAAACAGAGGUGUAUUGGAGGAAGCGGACAGGUUACAGGUAGAGAGCCCUGCAGAAGGCUGGGAUUUAUCGAGCAGCUGACAGAAGGUGGUGGCAGAGCUAGGUCAUGGCACAUUUGCCACAGUUCUUCCCUCUUUCCUCAGCCCUGCAAAGACCACAGAAGCCCCCAGUAUAGGGUUGUGCUUAUUCUGAGGUUGAGGAGGCUGACACUCGUCCCUCCUGAGCUGGGAGGGCACCACUGGGACAGGACUGGUAGAACUCCACAAAGCUACCAUUACCCAGAACCCCCUCUUUCCAUGUGUCCAGUAACUGACGGACCUGGGGUUCAUUUUCUAGACAGGAGGCAUGUUUGGCAGAGCUGGAUGGAUCCAGCUCUGCAGGUCCUGCCGACUUGAGGACAUUUGCUUCCAGCUUCAAGGAGCUGUGGGACCUGGAGGUCUUGCUGGU
rnacentral:lncRNA from 1 species